rnacentral:rRNA from 1 species
CCCUUAGAUGUUCGGGGCCGCACGCGCGCUACACUGAAAGAAUCAGCGUGUGUCUACCCUGGUCCGGAAGGAUUGGGUAACCCGUUGAACCUCUUUCGUGCUAGGGAUUGGGGCUUGUAAUUAUUCCCCAUGAACGAGGAAUUCCCAGUAAGCGCGAGUCAUAAGCUCGCGUUGAUUACGUCCCUGCCCUUUGUACACACCGCCCGUCGCUACUACCGAUUGAACGGUUUAGUGAGGGCAUCGGACUGGUCUCGGCCCGCCCUUCACCGGUGCGGCGCCGCCGGCCGGGAAGACGCUCGAACUUGAUCGUUUAGAGGAAGUAAAAGUCGUAACA